rnacentral:rRNA from 1 species
GGUGACGGAGGGCUUGCCCUUCUGAUCAGUGGCGAACGGGUGAGUAACACGUGAGUAACCUGCCCUUCACUCUGGGAUAACGCUGGGAAACCGGUGCUAAUACUGGAUAUGACCUACUCGGGCAUCCGAUGUGGGUGGAAAGAUUUAUUGGUGGGGGAUGGACUCGCGGCCUAUCAGCUUGUUGGUGAGGUAAUGGCUCACCAAGGCGACGACGGGUAGCCGGCCUGGGAGGGCGAUCGGCCACACUGGGACUGAGACACGGCCCAGACUCCUACGGGAGGCAGCAGUGGGGAAUAUUGCACAAUGGGCGAAAGCCUGAUGCAGCGACGCCGCGUGAGGGAUGAAGGCCUUCGGGUUGUAAACCUCUUUCAGCAGGGAAGAAGCAGCUGGGUUUUCUCGGGUGUGACGGUACCUGCAGAAGAAGCACCGGCUAACUACGUGCCAGCAGCCGCGGUAAUACGUAGGGUGCAAGCGUUGUCCGGAAUUAUUGGGCGUAAAGAGCUUGUAGGCGGUUUGUCGCGUCUGCUGUGAAAUUUCGGGGCUCAACCCCGAACUUGCAGUGGGUACGGGCAGACUAGAGUGUGGUAGGGGAGACUGGAAUUCCUGGUGUAGCGGUGAAAUGCGCAGAUAUCAGGAGGAACACCGAUGGCGAAGGCAGGUCUCUGGGCCACUACUGACGCUGAGAAGCGAAAGCAUGGGGAGCGAACAGGAUUAGAUACCCUGGUAGUCCAUGCCGUAAACGUUGGGAACUAGGUGUGGGCCUCAUUCCACGAGGUCCGUGCCGCAGCUAACGCAUUAAGUUCCCC